CAGGGAAAGGGCCUCUAUUCUGUGACUUUGGAAGGAAAAACUCCCUUUUCUGAGCACUGGCUUUGACCGCGUAAUUGCGCUCACUGAGGCUUUGGAGAACUCCACUGGUCCUUCUAGAAGAGGUCAUUCUGGCAAAGAAGAGAAUUUGGAAGCAUCCUCUUAAGUUUUGGGCAUCCAAAACUACACACGGACUGUUUCAAGGUAUUAUGGAAAAACAGGCUUUCUCAUUGGCUGGAAUUUAGAUCAGUGAUGGAUUAGCAAGCAUUUUUGGAAGUGGUUAAAGGUGUUUUUUUUU